rnacentral:misc_RNA from 1 species
GUAUACCGUACCCUGUUGCUUCGGCGGGCCCGCCUCACGGCCGCCGGGGGACCUCGCGUCCCCGGGCCCGCGCCCGCCGAAGACCCCAACACGAACACUGUCUGAAAAGUGCAGUCUGAGUCGAUUGUUACCAAUCAGUCAAAACUUUCAACAAUGGAUCUCUUGGUUCCGGCAUCGAUGAAGAACGCAGCGAAAUGCGAUAACUAAUGUGAAUUGCAGAAUUCAGUGAAUCAUCGAGUCUUUGAACGCACAUUGCGCCCCCUGGUAUUCCGGGGGGCAUGCCUGUCCGAGCGUCAUUGCUGCCCUCAAGCACGGCUUGUGUGUUGGGCCCCGUCCCCGGUACCCCCGGGGACGGGCCCGAAAGGCAGCGGCGGCACCGCGUCCGGUCCUCGAGCGUAUGGGGCUUUGUCACCCGCUCUGCAGGCCCGGCCGGCGCCAGCCGACCAACCCAACCAUUUUUUACAGGUGACCUCGGAUCA